AGCUCGUCGGGCUCAUAACCCGGAGGUCGGAGGUUCGAGUCCUCCUCCCGCUACCA
rnacentral:tRNA from 1 species